UGGCUGAUGGUGUAAUGGUAACACAGAGGUUUUUGGUGCCUUUAUUCUAGGUUCGAAUCCUAGUCGGCCAA
rnacentral:tRNA from 1 species